GACGAACGCUGGCGGCGUGCCUAAUACAUGCAAGUCGAACGGUUCUUUCUUUUGGAAGCUUGCUUCCGAUCGAGAGAAUAGUGGCGAACGGGUGAGUAACACGUGGGUAACCUGCCCAUAAGAGGGGGAUAACAUCCGGAAACGGGUGCUAAUACCGCAUAGUUUUUUUGAUCGCAUGAUCGAGAAAGGAAAGACGGCCUUUGUGCUGUCGCUUAUGGAUGGACCCGCGGCGUAUUAGUUAGUUGGUGAGGUAAUGGCUCACCAAGACGAUGAUACGUAGCCGACCUGAGAGGGUGAUCGGCCACAUUGGGACUGAGACACGGCCCAAACUCCUACGGGAGGCAGCAGUAGGGAAUCUUCCGCAAUGGACGAAAGUCUGACGGAGCAACGCCGCGUGAGUGAAGAAGGUUUUCGGAUCGUAAAACUCUGUUGUCAGAGAAGAACAAGUCGGAGAGUAACUGCUCCGGCCUUGACGGUAUCUGACCAGAAAGCCACGGCUAACUACGUGCCAGCAGCCGCGGUAAUACGUAGGUGGCAAGCGUUGUCCGGAUUUAUUGGGCGUAAAGCGAGCGCAGGCGGUUCCUUAAGUCUGAUGUGAAAGCCCACGGCUCAACCGUGGAAGGUCAUUGGAAACUGGGGAACUUGAGUGCAGAAGAGGAGAGUGGAAUUCCAUGUGUAGCGGUGAAAUGCGUAGAUAUAUGGAGGAACACCAGUGGCGAANGCGACUCUCUGGUCUGUAACUGACGCUGAGGCUCGAAAGCGUGGGGAGCAAACAGGAUUAGAUACCCUGGUAGUCCACGCCGUAAACGAUGAGUGCUAAGUGUUGGAGGGUUUCCACCCUUCAGUGCUGCAGCUAACGCAUUAAGCACUCCGCCUGGGGAGUACGGCCGCAAGGCUGA
rnacentral:rRNA from 1 species